UUUCAGAGUUUGAUCCUAGCUCAGGAUGAACGCUGGCGACGUGGAUAAGGCAUGCAAGUCGAAUGGGUACAUCACAUGGAAUGUGACGUAACAAUUGACAGUGAACAUGUGACAAUUGACUGUCGAAUUUUGCUUCGCAAAAUUCGACAAAAGUUAAUGGUUAACGGUUACUGGUUAAAUGUUACAUCGCGCUUCGCGUGAUGUACCCAUGGCGAACGAGGUAGUAACACGUAGGAACCUCCCCCGAUCUCAGGGAUAAUCAGUCGAAAGGCUGGAUAAUACCUGAUAGUCCCGCAAGGGUAAAGAUUUAUCGGAUCGGGAAGGGCCUGCGUAGUAUCAGCUUGUUGGUAGUGUAAAGGACUACCAAGGCAACGACGCUUAGGGGAGGUGAGAGCCUGACCCCCACCGAUGGUACUGAGACACGGACCAUACUCCUACGGGAGGCCGCAGUCGAGAAUCUUCCACAAUGGACGAAAGUCUGAUGGAGCGACGUCGCGUGAUGGAUGAAGUCCUUAGGGAUGUAAACAUCUUUUAUGAGGGAGGAAUUUUAUUGACGUUACCUCAUGAAUAAGGGGCUCCUAAACUCGUGCCAGCAGGAGCGGUAAUACGAGUGCCCCAAGCGUUAUCCGGAAUUAUUGGGCGUAAAGGGUGUGUAGGCGGUCAUAUUAGUCUUUUGUUAAAUCCUUGGGCUCAACCCAAGAACCGCAAAAGAAACGGUAUGACUUGAGAGUGUGAGAGGUUUAUGGAACUCAUGGUGUAGGGGUGAAAUCCGUUGAUAUCAUGGGGAACACCAAAAGCGAAGGCAAUAAACUAGCACAUUUCUGACGCUCAGACACGAAAGCCAGGGUAGCGAACGGGAUUAGAUACCCCGGUAGUCCUGGCCCUAAACGAUCUUCUCUAGCUUUUCGGAGUAUCGACCCUCUGGGAGGCGAAGCUAACGCGUUAAGAGAAGCGCCUGGGUAGUACGAGCGCAAGCUUAAAACUCAAAGGAAUAGACGGGGACUUGCACAAGCGGUGGAUCAUGUGGUUUAAUUCGAUGCUAAACGAAGAACCUCACCAGGACUUGAAACUGUUACGAAAGCCUCUCGAAAGAAAGGCCCUCUUCGGACGGAACAGCAGGCGUUGCAUGGCCGUCGUCAGUUCGUGGUUUGAAUUGUUCCCUUCAGUGGGGUAACGAACGCAACCCUCGUUGCCUGUUAUAUGUGUCAGGCGAGACUGCCCAGCCCUUUGCGCGUGAGCGCAAAGAGAAGCACCAAAUAUGAAGCACCAAAUACCAAACAAUAAUCAAAAUACAAAUGACCAAAAUACAAAAUGUUUUGGAUUUGAGAUUUUGAACAUUAGAUAUUGUUUGUAAUUUGGAAUUUGUGUUUUGUAAUUUCUCUUUGCCUCGCUUCGCGAGCAAAGGGCUGGGAGGAAGGCGAGGAUGACGCCAGGUCAGCAUGACCCUUUGAUGUCCUGGGCUACACACGUGAUACAAUGGGUGCUACAACGGGAUGCGACGAGGUAACUCUGAGCCAACCCUUUAAAGGCAUCCUCAGUUCGGAUAGAGGUCUGCAACUCGACCUCUUGAAGUUGGAAUCGCUAGUAAUCGCGGGUCAGCAAUACCGCGGUGAAUACGUUCUCAAGUCUUGUACUCAC
rnacentral:rRNA from 1 species